GACGAACGCUGGCGGCGUGCUUAACACAUGCCAGUCGAACGGAAAGGCCCUGCUUUUGUGGGGUGCUCGAGUGGCGAACGGGUGAGUAACACGUGAGUAACCUGCCCUUGACUUUGGGAUAACUUCAGGAAACUGGGGCUAAUACCGGAUAGGAGCUCCUGCUGCAUGGUGGGGGUUGGAAAGUUUCGGCGGUUGGGGAUGGACUCGCGGCUUAUCAGCUUGUUGGUGGGGUAGUGGCUUACCAAGGCUUUGACGGGUAGCCGGCCUGAGAGGGUGACCGGCCACAUUGGGACUGAGAUACGGCCCAGACUCCGACGGGAGGCAGCAGUGGGGAAUAUUGCACAAUGGGCGGAAGCCUGAUGCAGCAACGCCGCGUGCGGGAUGACGGCCGUCGGGUUGUAAACCGCUUUCGCCUGUGACGAAGCGUGAGUGACGGUAAUGGGUAAAGAAGCACCGGCUAACUACGUG
rnacentral:rRNA from 1 species